CCUACGGGAGGCAGCAGUGGGGAAUAUUGGACAAUGGGCGAAAGCCUGAUCCAGCCAUGCCGCGUGUGUGAAGAAGGCCUUCGGGUUGUAAAGCACUUUCAGUGGGGAAGAAAGCCUUGGGGCUAAUACCCUCGAGGAAGGACAUCACCCACAGAAGAAGCACCGGCUAACUCCGUGCCAGCAGCCGCGGUAAUACGGAGGGUGCGAGCGUUAAUCGGAAUUACUGGGCGUAAAGCGCGCGUAGGCGGUCUGAUAAGCCGGUUGUGAAAGCCCCGGGCUCAACCUGGGAACGGCAUCCGGAACUGUCAGGCUGGAGUGCAGGAGAGGAAGGUAGAAUUCCCGGUGUAGCGGUGAAAUGCGUAGAGAUCGGGAGGAAUACCAGUGGCGAAGGCGGCCUUCUGGACUGACACUGACGCUGGGGUGCGAAAGCGUGGGUAGCAAACAGGAUUAGAUACCCCAGUAGU
rnacentral:rRNA from 1 species